rnacentral:rRNA from 1 species
UACGUAGGGUGCAAGCGUUAAUCGGAAUUACUGGGCGUAAAGCGUGCGCAGGCGGUUCGGAAAGAGAGGUGUGAAAUCCCAGGGCUUAACCUUGGAACUGCACUUCUAACUACCGGGCUAGAGUACGUCAGAGGGGGGUAGAAUUCCACGUGUAGCAGUGAAAUGCGUAGAUAUGUGGAGGAAUACCGAUGGCGAAGGCAGCCCCCUGGGAUAACACUGACGCUCAUGCACGAAAGCGUGGGGAGCAAACAGG